UCCGGACUUAGCGCGGCAGUCUCGCUAGAGUGCUCGGCCGAACCGUUAGCAACUAACGACAGAGGUUGCGCUCGUUGCGGGACUUAACCCAACAUCUCACAACACGAGCUGACGACAGCCAUGCAGCACCGUCUCACUGAUUCCCAGUAGAGGGCACCCCUCCGUCUCUGGAAGGUUCCAGUGGAUUUAACCCAGGUAAGGUUCUGCGCGUUGCGUCGAAUUGAACCACAUGCUCCACCGCUUGUGCGGGCCCCCGUCAAUUCCUUUGAGUUUUAGCCUUGCGGCCGUACUCCCCAGGCGGAGUGCUUAACGCGUUAGCUACGGCGCCGCAGGGGUCAAUACCCGCGACACCUAGCACUCAUCGUUUACGGCGUGGACUAC
rnacentral:misc_RNA from 1 species